rnacentral:misc_RNA from 1 species
AUUAUAUGCUAUAUUUGUUAAUUGAAUAAUAUAAAGGGAAAUUAUGUAACAAUAUAGAAAACUUUAGGAAACGUUUUGAACGCUUAUAUAGGUAUGAUUUCAAUGGCAUCUUGUGGAGAUCCGAAGAGUAUAGGAUUUGGAAAGCGACACAAUCAAGUUUCGAACAAAAACUCUUAUUUUUUUAACAAAUUUAACCUGCCAAAGAAGAAAAAGACAUGCAUUACAUAAAACCCUAGCAGCUUAUGUCCAAUUUUUCAACAAAUAUUUAUGAUAGUCCUGCAAAAGUGGCAAUCAGUAUUGAAUCCAGCUUGGUCAAACCAUCAACGAACUCAUUUACCAUGACACUGUUACAGACAGCAUAAUCAUCUGGACUUUAACCCAUUAGAAAAUUAUUUCAUAUAAAUUACAUAAAAAAGUACAGCAUCAAUUGAUCAAGUUUCUUAAUUUUAUUUGGGCUGUCCUAGUGUAGUGCAAGUGAUUGGUAAAUCACAGUGGUAAUGGUCUUGAUUAAAUAUUUGCAAGUCUCACUCAAAUUAAAAUUGGGUGAGGAGUCCUGGCUGGCCAUGGACUAAGUGGUCUUGGUGCAUUUGCAAGUAUUUCAAGUUUGUGUCGGAUAUUCCAAAAUUAAGGCCUUUUUGGUUUAGGUUUCAUUCAAUAUGAACCUCUUGAUAGAUGGGUUUAGGAUUUCAUUCAAUAUGAACCUUUUGAUAGAUUCUACCAAUAAACAACCAAAAACUUGAUGUUGCACCAUGUCAUCCCCACAACAUUGCCGACAAGGAGUGACGCAACAUUUCUCAUGUAGUGAUGCACCAUGUCAUCCGCAUAACAUCACCAACAUUGCUACCUGAAAUUCUAUGCUUUGGUGAGGGCUACUUGUCAUUGGCUGCACUACUUAGCUUAUAGUGAGUUUGUGGUUUAUACCAUUGCACAUCACCGAGAAGUAUUUUUCAUAUUUCUAUUGCACAUUGUUUCCCUCUAUGGCAAAUUUGUUGACAAUAUGUUAUCUGUUGUUAAUAGUUUUCCAUUGGCUGGGCUGCUUGAGGAAAUAAUUUUGUAUGAUUUGCAGGUGUUGUUGUGGAGGCCAAAGCUCAACUUGUUGGAAUUCAUGAGCGAGUAAGAAGUGAUAUUGAGGCUAACCAACCUCCAACAUCAUCAGCUCCAAGCACAACACAGGAUGGAGGAAAACGAGUGCCAACCGCAACCAAGCCCAAUGCAGAAGAUGCUGCAGAACUACUGAGGAUGUGCUUGCAAUGUGGAAUACCCAAGACCUACUCCAGUGCACGUGGAAUGGUCUGUCCGGUUUGUGGCGAUAGGCCACCCAACGACACAAGCAAAGAGCCCAAGAAGAAGGGGUCGACGAUCAAAGAUAAAGAAAAAAGCAAGCGGAUGAAGGGACAAUCAUCUCAUGCUACGUGGAAAAGUGAAACAGAGAUGCAACUCAGACAACAAUUUGAUUAGCAUAAUCAGACAACAAUUUGAUUAGCAUAAUUAAGAGAACGCCCCUUUUGCCCUUCUGCCAGCUUGGGACAUUUUUAUGUUUAAGAUCAUGGAGGAAAAAUGUGUAAUCAAACAUGGGUAAAUGCAGUAACCAGCAAUCAAGUAGCAAAUCCACCUAAAUUGGUGAGUUUGCUAUCUGGGAUCUAUGGAGUAUGGGGUGUGGUUGGUGUUGCAUAUUUCCUUCUGAAUUGUUUUAAGGUUAGCCAUGCUUAAUGUUCAUGACUUAAUUAACUUUUGAGGUAAUCUUUUCAUUUUAAUAGAAUGAUUAUGAUCACUUUGAAUGAUAUAAUCCUGUUUAAG